UACGUAGGGAGCAAGCGUUGUCCGGAAUCAUUGGGCGUAAAGCGCGCGUAGGCGGCCUCAUAAGUCCGCUGUGAAAGUCAAAGGCUCAACCUUUGAAAGCCGGUGGAUACUGUGAGGCUAGAGUACGGAAGAGGCGAGUGGAAUUCCUGGUGUAGCGGUGGAAUGCGCAGAUAUCAGGAGGAACACCAAUGGCGAAAGCAGCUCUCUGGGACGGUACUGACGCUGAGACGCGAAAGCGUGGGGAGCGAACAGG
rnacentral:rRNA from 1 species